UACGGGGGGGGCAAGCGUUGUUCGGAAUUACUGGGCGUAAAGGGCUCGUAGGUGGCCAACUAAGUCAGACGUGAAAUCCCUCGGCUUAACCGGGGAACUGCGUCUGAUACUGGAUGGCUUGAGUUUGGGAGAGGGAUGCGGAAUUCCAGGUGUAGCGGUGAAAUGCGUAGAUAUCAGGAGGAACACCAAUGGCGAAGGCAGAUCUCUGGGCCGUAACUGACGCUGAGGAGCGAAAGCAUGGGGAGCGAACAGG
rnacentral:rRNA from 1 species